rnacentral:lncRNA from 1 species
UCUCUCUGGUGGUUUAGCUCACUUCCUGUGCCUGUGCCUCUGCUGCUGCUUAUGUUUGACUCUCUCUCUCUCUUAAGACUGUUGUCCUCACAGAUAUGGAUUUUUUGAUGGCAGAGCCAACUUAUAAACUUUUUAUUUUUCUAUGCAUGAUACAAGGAACGUACGGAGUGCUUAUACAUUAUAAUGCGAACGCAACUGCUGUGGAGGGACAGAACGUCAGCCUGCAAUGCAAUGUGGGAGAGGAGCAUGACGUCACAAUUAUCCAACUGGAAUGGAUUAAACAGCAAAAAGAAGAUGAGAAGAUCGAUCAGAAGAUUGUUGUGUUCCAUCCUGGGUACCCAACACAUUAUUUUAAAUCCGGUUCUCUUCUGGAGACAGUGACCAAUCCAAAAACUGGGAAGCUGCAGGGCUCAAUCCUGAUCCUGUAUAAAGUUACAGUGAAUGACGGUGGAAACUAUAUUUGCGAAAUUACAUCUUAUCCUAAUGGCUCAAUUAAAAGAACCACAAAGCUCCAAGUCACAGAGCCUCCAGCAUCAGUGAAGAUGUCAUAUCCAUAUGGAUUCAUAAAAGAGGGAGAUGACGUGAAAAUAACUUGUUCAGCUAGCCCUCCACCACUCCGUUAUAAACUUGCAAGGUCAAAGGACCAGAUAAUUUGGCUGGAAAGCUCAAAAGGAGAGUUCAUUAUAUCACACAUCACCAGAAACGACAGCGAUGUGUACAUCUGUUUACCUGAAUGGGACUCAUUAAUACGAAAUCAGCAAGGUCUCAAUGCCACUAUGGAACUGACUGUGAAUUUUCUUGAUGGCAUUGAGUGUAACACAAGCAGCCCUUUAAACGUCAGUGUUGGUGAGGAUGUGAUGAUUUCUUGUAUCGCAAAAGCAUCACAGUACUUGCAGUUGCAGUAUAAGUGGAUGAGGGGUGGCACAACACUGUCUCUGUCAGAGACUUUGUCUCUGACCUCCGUAACAUCUGACCAGUCAGGAACAUACAAACUGACAGCUGUCUUUUUGAAGAAUCAACUCCAGACAGACAUGGAGUUUUCUAUCCAUGUUCUCUCGAAGCAAAGCCAAGGAAUGACAACUCCUUGCCCAGUAAGUACCACCAAACAUCUGAGCAGCUUUACCUCUAAUGGGACCAGCUCAUGGAGCAAUGAUACCACUGUGUCUACAACAGAAUCUGGUCACUUCCUAGCUAGCACAAUAAAACCAAAUGCCACUAUGACAACCCUACAACCCAGACACACCAGUCAUCCCACUGGCAGCUCUUCUGCUCCACCUGUUGGCAAUGCAUCUACAUUACAUGCAAGUACUGUCAAAUCUACAGAUACCUCUACAGACAGUUUGAGCACAACUCCAGAUCCAGCUACCAGAAGAGAAAGAGUCACCACUGUUAUAACACAGAAAAACAUCACCACUGUUACAGCACCAAAAGCCUCAAAAAGCUCGACAUAUAUCGCUGUCCCGAUUGUGUUGUUGUUACUCGUGUUGAUUGUGCUUCUAUACAGAAGACACCAGAACCAAAAAAAAAUGGAUAUGCCACCUCCAUUCAAACCUCCCCCACCACCAGUGAAAUACACAUCAGUGAGGAACCAUGAUAUCUAUAUGACUGAUAUUCUAGUGUGAAUGUAUCAUGUACUUGAGAACCCACAACCGUGGGCCACAAAUAUGCUGACAUGGAAGAUUCUUCCCUAAAGGCCUCACCCCAAAAUUAAAAUUGUUUCAUCAAUUACUCAUCCUCAUGAAGUUUUGUUCAUCUUCAAAACACAAAUGAAGAUAUUUUUAAGAAAACCUAAGAGAUUUCUGUCUUUCCAUUGACAGUCCACACUAGUAUUUUGAUACUUCAAAAAGUUCAUAAAGACAUUGUAAAUGUAACCCAUAUGAAUCUCCCAGUUUAAUUCAUGUCUUCUGAAGAGGCAGUCACUUUAUAUGAUGAACAGAUUUAAUUUAAGCUUUUAUAUAAACAUUGAUCAGUACAUAGAGUACAUCAAAUAUAUAAUCUGUUUUUGAAAGUCUUAUGGAUUUAUCAUUUUUAUUUUGGGGUGAGUUAACUAAAGUAUUUUUUACUUAUUUUCUUUGUAUUUCUGAAUCGACUGUACAUAAAAUCUGUUACUCUUAUAUAUAAUUAGUUCGUUCUUUUUUAGAUGAAAAAAAAAUGUGACUGAAUUUUGCUUAACUAUGCUUUACUGACAUUAAAUAUAUUAUCGAAUAUCUUGAGUUUUACUUAGCACACAUACUACUCCUACAUCAUAACUAUGUAAAAUUUUCCCUGAAAUGUGUGAAUUAAAAAAUAAAUAAAUAAAGUGUGUGAGGGUGGGGUCAAAAACCGGGUAAAUUCCAGAAAUAUGAAAUAUGACUAGGCCUUAGGUAACUUUAGAGUUUAAUAAUGUGUGUGUGUGUGUGUGUGUGUGUGUGUGUGUGUGUGUUCAAUAAAUGAGGCUGUCAGUUGCAAUGAUGGCUUUUAAUACUGUUACAAUACAACUGCAAAGAAAAUAAGUGAGCACUAUUCAUAAUCAGAUAGCUUUGAAAUAAAGUCUACAUGCCAACACUGACCUCCUGUUGUGGGUGCAUGGUCUGUUAACAAAGCAAAGGCUAUCAGCUGAUUGUUUCAGGCCCCAUAAAACCUCAGUUUACACCUCAGAUAGUCGAGACAAACCAACUGCCAAAACCACAUCAGACAGUGACCAACAGAGACAGUAUGUAUCCUAAACCUUACAGGUCUAAUCUACAAAUACAAAUUCCAGCUCUGGUCACCAUAUAUUAUAACUUGCAGUAACAGCACAAUUGGUGGUUGUUUAUACGGUGCUUAGAACAAAGCAGAAUUUAGUUCUGUUCAUGCUGCUUAUACAACAUCCGGCAUUUUAAAAUGAAGUUUACCCCUGAAAACAAGCCUUCAUUCAAUGUGGGAGAAGAUGGAAAUGAAAGGCAUUUCUGAUUAAUGAACAGAGACAUAUGACUAUUAGAGAGUGUAUGUGUGUUAAGACAGAGAAAAUAAGAAAAAGAGAGAGUUGCUUUUUGUACAGAGUUUUGUGC